AGAGUUCGUUAUAUUACACUCGCCUGAACUUGACAAAGGAACACAUGCAUGCAGCGGACAAGGCCAUGGCUUGUGCUUGGAAGGUUGUUGGUAACUCCACUACCUACAUUCAAGCGCUCGACGAUGCUGCUGCGCUUGUACGCCACGCUGCUUUGAAUUUUGGGUGGACCUGAACGAAUAAAACGUCGCGUAGAAAGUGCGCUCCAUUUGCUG
rnacentral:lncRNA from 1 species